GAUGAACGCUGGCGGCGUGCUUAACACAUGCCAGUCGAACGAAGCACUUUAUUUGAUUUCCUUCGGGACUGAUUAUUUUGUGACUGAGUGGCGGACGGGUGAGUAACGCGUGGGUAACCUGCCUUGUACAGGGGGAUAACAGUUGGAAACGGCUGCUAAUACCGCAUAAGCGCACAGCAUCGCAUGAUGCAGUGUGAAAAACUCCGGUGGUAUAAGAUGGACCCGCGUUGAAUUAGCUAGUUGGUGAGGUAACGGCCCACCAAGGCGACGAUCCAUAGCCGACCUGAGAGGGUGACCGGCCACAUUGGGACUGAGACACGGCCCAAACUCCUACGGGAGGCAGCAGUGGGGAAUAUUGCACAAUGGGCGAAAGCCUGAUGCAGCGACGCCGCGUGAGCGAAGAAGUAUUUCGGUAUGUAAAGCUCUAUCAGCAGGGAAGAUAAUGACGGUACCUGACUAAGAAGCACCGGCUAAAUACGUG
rnacentral:rRNA from 1 species